GAGGGGUGCAAACGUUUAUUCGGAUUUACUGGGUGUAAAGGGUGUGUAGACGGCUUAUCAAGUUCGUUGUUAAAUCUUCCGGCUUAACCGGAAGCUUGCGAUGAAAACUGAUAGGCUUGAGGAUGAAAGAGAGAGGCGGAAUUCUCGGAGUAGCGGUAAAAUGCGUAGAUCUCGAGAGGAACACCGAUGGCGAAAGCAGCCUCUUGGUUCAUUUCUGACGUUGAGACACGAAAGCGUGGGGAGCAAACAGGAUUAGAUACCCUGGUAGUCCACGCCGUAAACGAUGAUCACUGGAUGUCAGCUUUGCUUUGCAAGGUUGGUAUCGAAGCUAACGCGUUAAGUGAUCCACCUGGGAACUACGAUCGCAAGAUUA
rnacentral:rRNA from 1 species